UACCGAGGGCGCAAGCGUUAGUCGGAAUUACUGGGCGUAAAGCGUGUGUAGGCGGUUUGUUAAGUGGGAUGUGAAAUCCCCGGGCUCAACCUGGGAACUGCAUUCAAAACUGACAAGCUAGAGUAUGGUAGAGGGUGGUGGAAUUUCCUGUGUAGCGGUGAAAUGCGUAGAUAUAGGAAGGAACACCAGUGGCGAAGGCGACCGCCUGGACUGAUACUGACACUGAGGUGCGAAAGCGUGGGGAGCAAACAGG
rnacentral:rRNA from 1 species